rnacentral:misc_RNA from 1 species
GAGACAAGCAUAUGACUACUGGCAGGAUCAACCAGGUAGCGUUCCUUCGCGACGCCGACGCCCGCAUGACGCCCGACGGGCCGUGAGGCCGCGGGCUCAAGACGGGCACGGCAGUCGUUCGUUCGCGUCGAGGGACAAAAUGCGUUGCUCGGGCGAAACGGAGCCUGUAACAGGCCCCACGCCCGCGCGUAACGUUCCGCAUCCGAGAGAACGGGCGUAGCACACCAUGGGCCGAGGCAGCCACCAAGCGACUUGGCGAGGCUUGCCAGGAACACGGGGCGUGCCCGACGUCCACCCCGCAACCCGCGAGGGCUGGGGGCGGAGAGGGACGAACCAGACCGUCGGAUUCCUUUCGAUAGGUAAGCAACACAGGAUACCGAA